GUGACAAUUAUAGUUUAAUUUAAAAUUUUAAAGUAUUUAAAAUCUUAAGAGUAAUUAAAUUAAUCUUAGCAUUAAGAUAGCAUUGAUUUUUACGGCUAAAUCUUAAGAGUAAUUUAAACAAUAACAAUAUUACAUAUAUAACUUACUUUUAGCAAUAUUUAUUAUAAAAAGUUGUUUACUUGUUUACAAUUUUUAGUGAUACAAGUUUUAUUUAUUAAAUUUAUUUAUAACAAUAGAUUAUCUCAAUUUUAACUCAUUGCUUUCUUAAUUGCACUUGCCAAUCCAUCAUAAGCAACUUCCCAAGAUGUGCUAAGUUCUUCACUCCACUUGUCUCCCACAACUUCCUUAAUUGUUUUUAGCAAAGCUUCUUUAACCACCUGCAAGGUGCCAAAACCAUUAAUUUUGGGUUAGCGACUUAAAACAUACAAAAAUGGAAUGGAAGAUGCUUUUUUAUUGGUGUAUUAUUGAAUUAAGGAAUACGUAACUAGGCAAUAAACAAAUUAGGAAUGCAUGCAUACAAUAUUUUAUUUUACUAUACUAUCAUACCACAAAAUGAGGAUCAACAACUCCCUUUUGAAUGUGAAUAGAACCCAAUGUAGCAUCUCCUAAAACUACUUCUCCUGUUGCUCGAAGUUGAACUGCCGCGUCACGCACCUAUAAUUCAAAAAGUAUAAAUAUAUUAAGAUCCGUCUCCAUUCAUGUUAAGAACUAUUACAAAAAUAUAACGAUGAAAUUUGAUAAUAUUCUUUGGCUUAAGUACUUUUGAUUUUCAAGUAUCGUGAUUGUGUGAUUUUCCCCCUCACGUUCUUUGGGAGACAUGUACUCAUGUUAUUUGCCCUUUUAAUGUAGUUGUAUCCAAAAACAAAAAAAAAUCCCAAAUUUACAUUGAGGUGGUAGUUUUGACACCAAUGUUUCAUAGCUAGCGUGAAUUUUCUUUUAGGAAAACUGAAAAUUGUGCAUUUAAUAUGGGAUGAAAUCCCUAAUUAGGGUUUGAAACUCGUGAAGAAUAAUAAAAAGAAAAGAAAAUUAAUAGAUUUCUUAGUUAGUAGUUUAAAGAGAAUCAAUAACAUUGAAUGAAGAAUAAAAAAAGAAAAGAAAAUUAAUUGUUGUGUAUUACACUCACCAUUCCAAAAACUUUUUCAGCGUGAGCUUGGAGUUGGGGACUAUCUUGUACUCCCGUUGAGUCCUUAAGAAAAGAGAACAUACCCUUUGCUGCAGGUGCUUUCUCUAAUAUACUAUUUUAAUUAAAGCAACCAAACAUAUUCUUGUUAUUUAAUUUACACUAUUUCCUUUAAACAGGAAAUCAACAAAAUGAGAAAACACAAACAAAAAAGACUCAUGAUAGAUAAAAACUUACGUAGUGUAGAAGAAAACACUAUAGCCAGGAAGGUUUUGUUUGAAUGAUUCCCAUGAGCUAUUCACUAAAGCCUCUUGAUUCUCUGUGAAACCCAUAUUUCUCUUAUUCUUUUUAGUUUAGUUUUGUUAUAUUUGAAUUGACAAUGUAAUAAUUUUGCAUUCAAUACUUGUUUAUAUAGACAACUUAUAGGUGUAAAGAGAUGCAGUUAGUUCAUUGUAAUUGUUUUCUCAAAGAAUCUAUUGGCUUGUGGAAAUGACCAUUGAAAUUAUGAAGAGACCAGAAUCUUUUUUAACAUUUAAAACUAACAAAAUUUAAUCAAAUAUGGCGGGGGCUUUGCCCCCUACCUCUCACCAAAAAAACAAAUCAAAUAAAGGUAAUGCUCCUUCUAUUUUUUUUUUAGUUUUCAUUUUGGGGCUUUAUACUUACAUCAAGGAAACCAAUAAAUUUUAUUACUUUUAAUUGUUUUUAUUUUUUAUUAUUAUUAUUUUUUUUAUCUUUUUCUUAUAAAUAACAAAUGUUAAAUUGUUAUCUCAUUCUAUCUAUUUCUCUCUUUGAAAUAAAUAAUAUAGUGUAAUAUUGACAAAACAAUUACUAUUUUUGAAUUUGCAUCGCCGCCUGAAUGCAGUGAAAAAUAAGGGUUUCUACAUCUUCGUGAACCACCUGUGAGAAUGCAUGUAUUCCAUGUUCCAAAAAGAAUCAUACUCUCAUAAAAUAGCUUCUUUACCGACUAUUAAAGAGAAUCAAUUAUUAAUUGAUGGAAUAUAUGCACUCUUGAAUAAAAAUGUAUGGAAAUAUUGGACACUAUGACUAGGUGAAAGAUCAAUUUUAUGUGCCUACAACAAACCAAAUGGGUGUGUGAGAAAGCGAAAGAAUUAGAUAGUUCAUAAUUUAAACUUUGGUACACUCGCAAAGUUAAAUCAAAAAAUGGGGGUAGGAAUUAUCGCGGAUAAGGAGUGAAAAAAGAUAUUGUGGAGGACGUAAGUACAGACUACCACGGGUUUUGUUCAAUGACAUUAAUAGAUCAAUGAGUUUUUGUUUGUGGAUUUAUAAUUAUGUCUAUCAAUGAUGAGUCAUUUGAGGUCAUUCCAAAGGAUUGGUUUGAUAUUAAUCUAAAUUAUGCAAUGGUCGAUGUGAUAGUAAGUUAUAUAAUUCAAGGACGAAUUUGCUUCAUUCAAUGAUGAAUUUUCAUCAAAACAGUCUUUGUGAAAAAAAUCACUUUCCAAAUUUUUUGAUCAGAUUCGUCCUUGUAUAUGUGGAAUGGAAGCUGAUUCGGAACUCCACAUCACAGGUUACAUCACAUGUCUUGUAAAAAAAAAGGUUAACUUCACACGUCAACACUAUUAACAACUAACUUGACAGAAUGACUAAAUUAAUUGAACAUUAUAAUAUUGAAGAACGUUCUAGCUAUUUCGAUUAAUUCAGAUAGAAAAUUGAUCGAUUGUUCAAACUUUGAGAACGAACAAACAUAUUCACUUAAUAUUCCCUUUUUUUUUGUUUUUGCUAGAACCUUUCCAAACUGAUAGUUUUAAAGUAUCACCUAUUAAACAAUGCUACAAUCACAUAGCAUUCUAAGAAAUUAAACUCCUUCUUAUUUAUUUUUUACAACACUAGGCUAUGUGGAACUUUUUUAAGAUAUUUCAUUCCAAUCAACUUCAACACUGAUUAACAUUAAGUAAUAGAUGGUUAUCCUUCAUCAAACUGGAUUUUUGAUCACGAAAAUAUCACAAAUGAAUUGGAUUUAGUCAUUCGUCUAUGUUUGUGUGAAGUAUAUAUAUCCUCCGCGUAUAAAUAAAGAGAUUAAUCAUUCGAAUUGGAUAGACAAUUUAUGUCUUUUUCGAUUAAUAAAUUCGGCUUCCUAGUUAAUAUCAACAAUUUAGUAAGUUUCAACCUUAUAAAAGAAAAAACUUGAACUCAGUAGAUAGAUACUCCAUCAUUUAAGUGUCAAGGAAUGUACCUUAUUCUUUUGACAUUUGAAUACCAUCAUUUAAUCUCAGCUUAACAAGAAUUUAAUCUUUUGAAUGAAACAUUGGGAAUGCCAUUCGUAUAUUGGAGUCCUGCUGCUUGGCAAGUUUGAAUUUAUCCCCAUUCAAAGGUAACACAAUUGGUGUAGUUGGGAGGUACAAACGUUCAACUGCAACAAUUGUCUUCCUUUGAAUGGGGUAAUUCAAACUUGUUAAACGGCAGAAAUCCAACAUUUGAUGAUCAUCUAGAAUAAUGGUAUCCAAGUGUCAAGGAAUGCACUUCAUUCUUUUGACACUUGAAUACCAUCAUUCAAGAUGUUCAUCGCAUGCUGGAGUGCUGCUGUUUAGCAAGUUUGAAUUUACCCCAUUCAAGAGUAAGAUAAUUGUUGCAGUUGGAAGGUACAUUCGGGAAUGAAAUGUAAUGUAAUGUGAUAACAUAUAUAGUUGAAUAUGCAUAAUACAUGUUGUUUUGAAUGGAACAAUAAUUAUCUUAUUUAUUCACUUUUCAAAUUUAUUUAUUCAUUACACAAUUUUAAUUAGUUGAAUUCACGUUAGAUUUAAUUAGUUUUUAUUCAAAUACGCAAUUAUUCAAAACGCGACUUUAAUCGAAAUUAUUUCAAAUGCAAUUUUAUUCUAAGUACCAUAAUGUCAAACAAAAUGUGCGCGACACAAAAAUAAAACAUAAAAAAAUCCAAAACAAUUAGGCAUUAAAAGCCAUUACAUUCAUUCUUCCUCGUCACACAAGUCAAUCGAGUUGCCCGCUACAGUCCCUGGGGAACCUUGUUUUGGUUGAGGACCAAAAUAGCAUGUCCUCCCGCUCCUCCUCAACCUCGACUGAUUGUACACCGUCACCUUCGAACCCUUCUUUUUUUCUUUCUUUCUCGGAACCAUCACAAACAAUUAUGUGCCAUGUCAUAGGCGAUUUUUCUUUGUUCUUCUCAUCACCCUGAACGUUACCCUGAUUCUGAUUCUGAGACAUAUCUACAUUAAAAAAAAAUUGCGAUCAAAACCUAAACUAAACAACAAUGCCAUAAAAUCGUAAAAUCAAAAACUAAACCUACACCUAAACUAUCAUCAAAACCUACACCUAAACCUAAACAAUUCUAACAAUUCUACAACGAUUCAUCAAAACCUAAACCUAACAAUUCAAUAAAAAUUCUCUAACAAUUCUAACCUAAACUAUCCUAACAUAUCAUAAAAUCAAUAAAACCUAUAUAAUCGAAAUUUAACAAAAAAAAAAAACAAUUCGACCACAAAACAACAAUGCAAUAGAAUUCAAAAAACUUACUUGUUCUUGUGAUUGAAAUUAACUUGGAAUGACUUCAAAUUGCUCAAAAUCGCACCUAGGAGAAUAAAAAACGUAACAAUGGAGUUUUGGAAACUCAUAUGUCUGGUCUGUACUUAUAACAAACUUUCGGUAGUUAACUCCCGAGGUUUUCCUCGGCAGUUAACUGCAGCCGGUUUUUGAAUUCCUCGACAGUUAACUGUCAAGGGAGCAAAAGCGUAUUUUACUUGUGAACCUCAGCCUUAUGAAAUGUGUCAACAACAAUUUUCCAUCAUUAAUGAGAAGAACAUCAAAAUUUUAACAUGCAUGCAUAGGUGGACCAUGCAGUAGGGCAUUUAUCUAAUUACAUUUUCCCCAUAAAUAUUAGGCUCUACUAGUUCCAACUAUAUGUAAAUAAGGUUGGGUACUUAAAUUCUGAUGUCUACUUCUAACAGGUAGGUGUAUAAGCUUUCAUGAUCUAAGAGUGUCUUUUAUUGUCUUUAAAUAUCCUUUAAUUUUUCUAAUAUUGUAAUAUUGUUUCAUGUCAAAACUUUUAUGUUUCUUUUCAAUCUUCCUUUCAAAAAAUUUCAUCGUUAAGUUUUUUUUUUUUUUUUUUUUUUUUUUUUUUUUUUUAUACAGACAAAAUGACAAUAGUCGAUGAAAACUUAAACUCACAAAUGGUGGAGCUAGAAUUUGAACCCGGAUGAUCACCGUGUUCGAUCUAACAAUUUGAACCAAAUCAAUAACUUUCAAGCAUUUUUAUAUUUGAUUCCUUUAUUUUUCAGCAAACUUUUUUAUUCCUUUAAGAUUCCUCACAAAACUUGCACCUUUGUUUGAUCAAGACAUUUUUUGAACGACACAUUCACACGCACCUAAGGUCAUUUAAGUUACCAAUUAACUCAUUCAAACUCCUAUGAUCACACUGAUCAAACACUCCUUUGUGGUAGGUUUGACAAAUUUCAUAAUCAAUUAACAAAAAAUUAGAGUAAACAACUUUGCAUGCCUACAUGUCGAUGCUGAUGGAUAACUAAGGACCAAGGAUGGUCAUAUAAGAGAGUGUUAUAUAUAUAACAUUUUUUUGUUGCUAAUAAUAUAUUUAUAACACUUUCAUAAAAAUAAAAAAAUUUAUAACACUCCUUUCAAAGAAAAUAUUUUUGUUUUGAAGGAAAAAAAAAUAAAAUUUCAAAGAAAAUAUUUAUAACGCUAACAGUUUAAAAUACCACUUUAAAUGUAAAUACACAUCUUAAUAUUUCUCUACCGAGUGUAUUUUAAAAACUACCCAGUCAUAACGUGUUUGUUUUGAACUUUAACACAUGAUCUAAUAAAAUAAUAAUAUUAUAAAAGGUGGGAAUUAAUACACUAAAAUAACAUUUUUAUUGUCAAAACGAAAAAAAGAACUAAGUAAUACUUUUGUUGUGAAAAAAAAAACUAAGGUGAGCUAUACAAGGACUAUAUAAAUUACUUUAAAACGACAAUUGAAAAAUAAUGGGAUAUGGUAUUUGGUUGUUAUAGUGGAAAAUAUUUUUUAGAUAUUUGCCAAUGACAUUGAAUAAUGUGUUUGAAAAUGAACACCAAGGAAAAUAAAGAUUAGAUUUAACUAAGUGAUUAAACUCAAAUUGUUAAUUCCUUAAAAAAAAAAAACUGAAGUUGUUAAUAAGUUCUCAAAGGAUGAAUCACAUGAAAGAACCGAGUUCGAUUUUGGAUGAAACAAUUAUUAAUUAGAUUUUAUUUACCUAUCAAAUAUUAUUUAUCUUCCGAUUAAACUCCGAAUUAUCAAGGUUCUCAUCCUCUAGGAAUCAUAACGUUAAAAAAACAAAUUUUAUCAAAAUCCACGGCUAACCCUGCAAGACCCCUAUUAUUCAAACAAAAAUGUCUUAAUUACUAGAAUUGUACCUACAGGAAGGAAAUGAUUAGGUUUAAUGAUUAGGUCCCAUGAUCAAGUAAAUAGAUUGGAUGAAUAGGUCAAUUGUAUAGUUAAAAGUUGUAUAGUUAAGUAGUGGAUCAUUGGCUGAUCGUAAAAUUGGUAAAAUUUAACAUAACUUAUUUUUACAAACUAUAUAUCGAAAUGCACAUAAUUUUCUAACAUUGUAAAUAAAAAUAAACAUAAAUUUUCUUACCCAAAUUGGAUUGUGCUGACUAUAUAAUGCUUUUCUCGUUUUGCAUAGUAUUGAAACUAGACAGAAAGAAUCAUUUUGGGUGGAAUUCACUUGAGGCUCUCUUCUUCUCAUUUACUUUAUUUUUACUUUAUUUCGUCUAUUUUUCUUUUACAAACUAUACAAAGAGGUACUUUUUGACUUACCAAUAGAUCCUAUUGUUUUUGUGGCAAAGAUGUGUGGAUAGGUUGGAGAAAGGGUGUUUAUUCAAUCUCUUAGCAAAGGAUGAUUUGUACAUACGUGAGAUUUUACAUCAAGAUUCUCAACUUUACAUUAAUGGGUGUGGAGUUGAAAAGACUUUAUCUUUUUUUUUGUGUGUCUUGUGUCAUGAAGAUUGGAUGGAAACUUUGCAAUGUUUAGGUGUUUAUUGUACAUUGUUAAAUGGUGUAAUCAUCCUUUUGAUAAUAAAGGGAUCAAUGUUGAGGGCAUUUUUUUUUUGUUCAUGUUGGGGGAUUUCUAUCAAUUGAAGACUCAAUCUUGGUGGUGGAUUAAAGAAAAGGCACAUAGCACAAAUAUGAUAACUAUUUCAUAGUUAUUUCAAUAUUGAGGGGGAUUUUUUUAACAAGAAAUGCACUAGCAUAAAUAUAAUAAUAACUAUUUAAUAGUCAUUUCAAUAAUUUUUAUUAUAUAAACUUGUUAAACAAGUUUUAGUAAUACAACUUUUAUUUAUUAAGUUGAGAUAUAAUUAUAUAUCAUCUCAAGUUUAACUCAUUGCCUUCUUAAUUGCAGUUGCCAAUGCAUCAUAAGCUACUUCCCAAGCAGUGCUCAAUUCUUCGCUCCAUUUAUCUCCUGAUGAUUCUUUUAUUGUUUUCAGCAAAGCUUCUUUAACCACCUGUAAGGCGCCAAAAGCAUUAAUUUUGGAUCUAUUGAAAUAUUUUAUUAAAUUAAAGAAUAAUAAAUGGCCAUUAGGGAGUAAAAAAAUUAAGAAUGAAUCUAUUGAAAUAUUGUAUGAUAUUAUCAUACCACAAAAUGAGGAUCAACAACUCCAUUCUGAAUGUGGAUAGCACCCAAAGUAGCAUCUCCCAAUACUACUCCUCCUGUGGCUCGGAGUUGUGCAGCUGAAUCGCGUACCUAUAAUUCAAAAUGUAUAAAUAUCUUAAGAUCAAUAACAUUCAUGUUAGUGAAAACUAUUUAAAAAGUACAAAUAUAAUUUGUUAUUAUUCCUAUUAAUAUAAUGUGAUUAUAUAUUCUUAAGUAGAAAAAUAUUAAUUCAUUUUCUAAUUUUAAUUGAACAAUCUUUCCAACUAGUAAAAAAUAAAAUUAAACUUUGAUUAAAUAGAUGCUUUAUUGCGCUUUCAAUCUCCCGCAAUUGUGAAAUUUUGAUUUCAUGUGUUUCAAUUGUGUGGAUGAUGUCUCCUAGAUAUCACAAUUGUUAAUAUCAUCUUUCUCUCCAUCCAUUAAUCAUAUUGAAGUACUUGUUCAAAAAUUAAUCAUAUUGGAGUAAUUGUUAAUGCUAAAAGCCAAAAUCGUCGUUAAUUGAAUGAAGAAUAAAUAAAAGAAGGAAAAAAUUUAUCGAUAUUUAAUUACACUCACCAUUCCAAAAACUUUUCCAGCAUGGACUUGAAGUUUAGGACUAUCUUGUACUCCAGCUGAGUCCUUAAGAAAAGAGAACAUACCCUUUGCUGCAGGUGCUUUCUCCAAUAUACUGUUUUAAAUAAAGCAACCAAAAAUAUUAUUGUUAAUUUUUUUGAUACAAUAUUAUUGUUAAUUUAUGUCUUCUCUUUUAAACCAACAAUUAACGAGAAGAGAAAAUACAAACACAAACACUCAAAAGAUAUCAAACUUACAUAGUGUAGAACAAAACACUAUAACCAGGAUUUUGUUUAAAUGAUUCGAAUGAGCUAUUUACUAAAGCCUCUUGUUUCUCGGUGAAACCCAUAUUUCUCUUCUUAUUUUUUAUUUUGUUUUGCUA
rnacentral:lncRNA from 1 species